GAGAGAGAGAAAAAAAAGACAACAUUCCUAGUGAUCUUUCCGUGGGACUGCGGCAAGGAGGCAGCAGGCACAGUGAAACUGGGCGGCGAUGGAUACUCCCAGCACUUGCUGAGCACUGCUACGCCUCAGGACUGGGACAGAGAGAACCAUUCUCUGCUUUCAAUAGGACAGAAGAGCUCCUUGGCACUGGAUGCCUCCGGGUCUGGUUGAGAGAGGAAUGGUUAGGAGACUGUUCUGAGGAUACGCAGACAUCAUCCAAAGCUUCCUACAUUCAGAUGAGGACAGAGGUUGGGCCAGAGCUUUGUAUGCUUGUUACCUAAGGAUGGUUCUGACCAUGUAAGCAGAUCACAGAAGGACUUUUUGAUCCUGCAGAAAUGCAGAUGAGGCUCAAGAAAAAGUGUCAUAAAGAUUAAUGAGGGCCAUGGCUGGAAGAGGACCUGGGAUUUACGUCAUCAGCACCCAGAUAUUGCUGGAGGCAAAGGAUGCCAAGAUGGGAAAGCCACAUAAUGGAAGGAUCCUGGAUUUCAGAGCUGUCACUUGGAGGAGGGGCACCCAGUGAAGGUGUCUUAUCUAACCCACACCAUAUCUUCAUGAAGUGGCCAUAUGGAUUUGAUCCCUAUCCUUCAGAGGUGCUCAGCCUAAGGGAACACGGAUAGUAGAUUAAGCACUGACCAG
rnacentral:antisense_RNA from 1 species